GACGAACGCUGGCGGCGUGCUUAACACAUGCAAGUCGAGCGAGAAACCUUCGGGUUUCUAGCGGCGGACGGGUGAGUAACACGUGGGUAACCUGCCUAGAAGAGGGGGAUAGCCUUCCGAAAGGAAGAUUAAUACCGCAUAAUAUUACAGCUUCGCAUGAAGCAGUAAUUAAAGGAGUAAUCCGCUUUGAGAUGGACCCGCGGCGCAUUAGCUAGUUGAAGAGGUAACAGCUAACCAAGGCAAAAAUGCGUAGCCGACUAGAGAGGGUGAUCGGCCACAUGGGGACUGAGACACGGUCCAGACUCCUACGUGAGGCAGCAGUGGGUAAUAUUGCACAAUGGGCGAAAGCCUGAUGCAGCAACGCCGCGUGGGUGAUGAAGGUCUUCGGAUUGUAAAGCUCUGUCUUUUGGGACGAUAACGACGGUAGCCAAGGAGGAAGCCCCGGCUAACUACGUGCCAGCAGCCGCCGUAA
rnacentral:rRNA from 1 species